rnacentral:rRNA from 1 species
AAUCAACGCUGGCGGCGCGCUUAACACAUGCAAGUCGAACGAGAAAGGGGAGCAAUCCCUGAGUACAGUGGCGUACGGGUGAGUAACACGUGGGUAAUCUGACUCUUAGUGUGGAAUAACCCUGGGAGACCGGGGCUAAUACCGCAUAAGCCCGAGAGGGGAAAGUCGCAAGACGCUGAGAGAGGAGCCCGCGGCCGAUUAGCUAGUUGGGAGGGUAAAAGCCUACCAAGGCAUAAAUCGGUAGCCGGCCUGAGAGGGCACACGGCCACACUGGCACUGAAACACGGGCCAGACUCCUACGGGAGGCAGCAGUGGGGAAUCUUGCACAAUGGGGGAAACCCUGAUGCAGCGACGCCGCGUGAGCGAUGAAGCCCUUCGGGGUGUAAAGCUCUUUCGGCAGGGAAGAUAAUGACGGUACCUGCAGAAGCAGCUGCGGCUAACUACGUGCCAGCAGCCGCGGUAAUACGUAGGCAGCGAGCGUUGUUCGGAGUUACUGGGCGUAAAGGGUGUGUAGGCGGUUGCUUAAGUUUGGUGUGAAAUCUCCCGGCUUAACUGGGAGGGUGCGCCGAAUACUGAGCGGCUAGAGUGCGGGAGAGGAGAGUGGAAUUCCUGGUGUAGCGGUGAAAUGCGUAGAUAUCAGGAGGAACACCGGUGGUGUAGACGGCUCUCUGGACCGUAACUGACGCUGAGACACGAAAGCGUGGGUAGCAAACAGGAUUAGAUACCCUGGUAGUCCACGCCCUAAACGAUGCAUAUUUGGUGUGGGUCAUUCAGUUGAUCCGUGCCGGAGCUAACGCGUUAAAUAUGCCGCCUGGGGAGUACAGUCGCAAGGCUGA